UACGUAGGGGGCAAGCGUUGUCCGGAAUCAUUGGGCGUAAAGAGCGUGUAGGCGGCCUGGUAAGUCCGCUGUGAAAGUCCAGGGCUCAACCCUGGAAUGCCGGUGGAAACUGUCAGGCUCGAGUCCGGAAGAGGCGAGUGGAAUUCCUGGUGUAGCGGUGAAAGUGCGCAGGAUAUCAGGAGGAACACCAAUGGCGAAGGCAGCUCGCUGGGACGGUACUGACGCUGAGACGCGAAAGCGUGGGAG
rnacentral:rRNA from 1 species